AAGAGACAGCAGUCGCCGCGGGAAUACGUAGGGUGCAAGCGUUAAUCGGAAUUACUGGGCGUAAAGCGUGCGCAGGCGGUUAUAUAAGACAGAUGUGAAAUCCCCGGGCUCAACCUGGGAACUGCAUUUGUGACUGUAUAGCUAGAGUACGGCAGAGGGGGAUGGAAUUCCGCGUGUAGCAGUGAAAUGCGUAGAUAUGCGGAGGAACACCGAUGGCGAAGGCAAUCCCCUGGGCCUGUACUGACGCUCAUGCACGAAAGCGUGGGGAGCAAACAGGAUUAGAUACCCCUGUAGUCCCUGUCUCUUAUAC
rnacentral:rRNA from 1 species